rnacentral:rRNA from 1 species
GGGAACGCGAAGACCCUUACCUACCCUUGACAUCCAGGGAAUUGGUAAGAAAUAGGAGAGUCCCUUCGGGAGCUCUGAGACAGGUGCUGCAUGGGCUGUCGUCAGCUCGUGUCGUGAGAUGUUGGGUUAAGUCCCGUAACGAGCGCAACCCUUAUCCUUAGUUGCCAGCCGUUAGGCCGGGAACUNUAGGGAGACUGCCGGUGAUAAACCGGAGGAAGGUGGGGAGGACGUCAAGUCAUCAUGGCCCUUAUGGGCUAGGGCUACACACGUGCUACAAUGGUCGGUACAGAGGGCAGCAAACCCGCGAGGGGAAGCAAAUCCCAAAAAGCCGGUCNUAGUCCGGAUUGCAGUCUGCAACUCGACUGCAUGAAGUCGGAAUCGCUAGUAAUCCCCAAUCCAAAUGGUCCGGUGAAUACAUUCCCGGUCUUGUACACACCG